rnacentral:rRNA from 1 species
GUGUUGCAUGGCUGUCGUCAGUCCGUGUCGUGAGAUGUGAUGCGAAAGCACGUAACGGGCGCAACCCUUAUUUGUAAUUGCUAAUUUAUUUUUAAAUGCACUUUACAGAACGUUUAAAGAUUGUUUUUGAAGGUCGCGUUUUUUGAGCGCCUUAUUUAAUAAUCUUUAAAGGAAGUGGGGAUGAGGUCAAGUCGUCAUGGCCUUUAUAAACUGGGCUACUCAUGUGUUACAAUGGUUGCCACAAAGAGUUGCUAUG